UACAGAGGUCCCAAGCGUUGUUCGGAUUCACUGGGCGUAAAGGGUGCGUAGGUGGCUGGGUAAGUCUGAUGUGAAAUCUCCGAGCUUAACUCGGAAAUGGCAUUGGAUACUAUCCGGCUCGAGGGUUGGAGGGGGGACUGGAAUUCUCGGUGUAGCAGUGAAAUGCGUAGAUAUCGAGAGGAACACCAGUGGCGAAGGCGAGUCCCUGGACAACUCCUGACACUGAGGCACGAAAGCUAGGGGAGCAAACAGG
rnacentral:rRNA from 1 species